rnacentral:rRNA from 1 species
AUGACGGACGGGGUCGAAGACAGUGAAGAAAUUGCUGCCCUGGAGAAGGCGUUGGUCGAUGAAACCAUGGAUCCAGUUGAUAUACCUUUCUCCCUUCUCAAGUCCAUCACAGGAAAUUUCUCGGAAGCUCAAGAGAUCGGCAGGGGCGGGUUCGGAGUGGUCUACAAGGGAGUGCUUCCAAGUGGUCGCACCGUCGCCGUGAAGCAGCUCUUCGAAAGGUACGAGAUCCUCGACAAGACUUUCGAUAGCGAGAUUGACUGUCUUGCGGGCCUCAAGCACAAGAAUACGGUGCGAUUUCUUGGGUAUUCCUCCGAGACGCAGUAUUUACGAAGGCUGUGCGACGGGAAGCUUCAGUGGGUAGCCAAGCGGCAGAGGCUGCUCUGCUUUGAGUACCUGCCCAAAGGGUGUCUUGCUGGCUAUCUCUCCGAUGCAUCUUGUGGACUUCAUUGGAGCACACGUUAUCAAAUAAUCAAGGGGAUCUGUGAGGGCAUACAUUAUCUUCACCAGCACCGUAUUAUUCACAGGGACCUCAAACCUCAGAAUGUACUAUUGGAUGAUAACAUGAUUCCCAAAAUUGCGGAUUUUGGACUAUCGCGACACUUAAGUGAAAGCCAGAGUCGGGAUAUCACUGAAAACAAGUUUGGGACAAUGGGAUAUAUGGCACCAGAAUUCUUUAAUAAGGGAGAAAUCACCUUCAAGACAGACGUAUAUAGUUUGGGUGCUAUAAUAAUGGAUAUUCUUAUGGGACAAAAGGAAUGCUCCGAUGUUAAGGAGGUAGUUGAAAGUUGGACGGACAAGUUUGGGACAUCAAAGAGUCAUACAUCACUGGAAGAAGUAAAGUUAUGUGCUGAGAUAGGGAUAAAAUGCAGGAACUAUGACCCCCGGAACAGGCCUGCUACAUGGUCUAUCAUCCAUGGAAUACUAGAUGAAGCGGAAAUUUCGAACUGGUCUGUUACAAGUGAUGUAGCUACCUCUACAGAAGGGCAGGUACAAUCACUCAAGUAA